GAAGCUGGUUCUACCCUGACGUCCUGUGGCUCCGAGGUGGGCAGCACCAUUCCUGGGCUCCCAGAGCCUGCAGGUUCAGUGCAUGGCCUCCAGAACUCUCC